UCUUAAAGCUCCCCAUUUUGACAUUGAGAACUUUGUUCUAAAGAGAAACUUUCCCACAAGUAUGUUUCUUGUGGAUGAGAAUGAAUGUGUGGUGUGAAUUUCAUCCAAUACAGUUAAUGUCUCCUACGUUUGAAGUAUACAGUUACUGAGCGGGCAUUGCAGUCUUUGAAUAUAUUCUUUUUGGCUUUAAUUUUUUUUUUUAAAAAAGGUUCCAUUCUAUGCAGUGCUGUUUAAAAAUCAUUAUGAAUGAUACUUUCAUUGCAAAAUCAGACUGCAUGCUUUUAACCCCUUAUAAUGGAGACGACCUUUAUUUUGAUUUAAGGUCCUUUGACGUAUCUAAUCCUACUCAUUCACAUGCCUUUUUAUUCAUUGAACUUCCUCUUCAGCUCAAAGUUAUGAUUAAUGAAGCUAUAUUCUAAUUACCGCUCCAUUGGAAUAAUGUCCUUAGAACAGUGAUAUAAAAAAUACUUCUUCAAAACACUGCACCCAGCUAUUUAUCAGACAUUUUACAUAAUGCAUAACUGACCAUUACAGGUCAUAAAUUUAAAAAAUAGUAAUUUCAGACUUUUCCUAACUCCGAAUUGCAGUGUUUGUUAACACAUUUUUGUUUCACCCUUCAUCAUUGCCCUCAUGUAGCUCUGUAAUGUCUGUAAGUGUUUUGCUCUGCUUGUUUCUUCAGACAAAGAAUAUUGAAAUAAACAUUCUCAAACUGGUAUUUUGAGGCAUCAAUUCUAGUUAUGUCAUUGGUAUUUAAGAGCCAACUUUUCCAGACUAUAACAUGUUCUACACAUUUGACCUUUCUGCCUAUCACGUUAAAGGGAUAUUUUAAUGCUGCAUAGAACUCUUCAAGUAAACACACAGUUCAAAAGCUAUUCAUAUUUUAAAGUUCUGAUACUCACUGGAAGUCAGGCUCCGAUGUUAGGACAUCAAAUUUAAAUAGUGACAGGUGGUGUGUGUGUUCACUCCAUUUUAGUUUUUGUCAUAAUCAGAUUGUGACUUUGCAUUUGCACACUCGGGUGCAGAAUUUCUGAAAAAGUGACCUCUGAUGUAGUUAAUUGUGAGCUCUAUAAGUUAUGUGCAAAAAGAGGAUUAUGGCUGUAUUUGUCAACUCAGCCGAGGAAGUAAAAAAUGCCAUAGAGCUUUAUAAUUUUAACAGCUUAAUGACUUGAUCUGUACUAUUUCUAUUAAUGUUUUUUUGCAAAAUAAAAUGUCCCUUUAAUGAGCAAGGAAGUUACAAUUAUUUGGAUUAUUGAUCUUAUUCUUACUACCAGGUUUAAUGGACUUGCAAAGAGAUUGUGUACACAUGUCAUUGGUGCUCCCUUUUGCAAAUUUCUUACACUGUACAAAGAUUUAGAUAUGUUAGGCUUGCUUAUUCAAAUCCUCUCUAAUUUUUUUUUUUUUAUUUAUAAAUAACUUCUACAAUCAAAUGUCUAGCUUAACAUACUAGAUACAGUUUUGUAUAGAAUAAUCUUAUGUUAACUAGAAUACAACUUAUUUUGCAGUCAUGGACAUUUUACUGAAUAUUUUUUUUAUCUACACAGUCCUUGCACAGUUGGCUGCAUGUGUAUUUUAAGACACAACCAUUUAUCUACCUCCAUUCUGUAUUGCUGCCUCAAAUACCAUGUGUAAAACAAUUUCUCAAAAAGAUAACACAAGCCUUGAAUAUCUAAAUGGAUUUUAGUUAACCCAUGCCCCUAUUCUCUUUCCAUUUUAUCAGUCCAUACUAAGGUAAGAGCACUAUCUUAACGUGUUUUGUGCUUAUGUUUAUGCUACAAACUUUCUCGUAUCUUAACAAUUACAGGAAAUGAGUUCUAAAGAAGAAAUUUAAAAAAAUACACACAUUAAACCACCAAACCUGUGAUAACUACAUGGAUGAAACAGUAAGACCUUUCAAUUUUCCAACUCGAAAAUCGUGUGUGCUUCCCCUACCCACCAGUUUUAACCCUUUCAAUGCUGGAGAGUUGGUUGUAUAUUAUGGUAUCUCCAGUAUAAAAUGUUUUUUUUUUUUUUUUUUAAUUUUAUUUUGUGUUUUGCCUUUUAUAUAUUAAAAUGUGAACGUCCAGGAAAUGGGCGCUUUAGCUUUUCUUUAGGUAUAACAUUUAUCAGUGACUUUUACCUACUUACACUCCUCAGUUUAAUGUGAUUUGUUGCUAUGCUCCUCUGCCGACUUUUUUUUUUAAAAUUUAAAUUCCAGGUGUACUGAGCAAAGGUUGAUGGUUGAGAGAAUGUCUCUCAAAAACAGAAAUCAUGAUCAUGAGCUCAACCGUUCUCAAACAAGCUUACUAAAAAGUUAAGAUCGCCAGUGGAAAAACCCUUAACUAGCUGCUCUGACAGCCUGGCACUGCACCUCAAUGGUAAACUUGGGAGCAAAACACAAGGUUGUUUUUCUGCUUCCGUCUACGCUGUAUAAUACAAGCUGGUCUGCUGAACAAAUGUUUUAAUUAUCUCAUCAUGGACACUCAAAUGUUAUCAAAUACCAGUCAAUUGUGCUGCAUUUUGAGGUUUUUCUCUGUUUAAUAAUUCAAAACUUUUCUGUACUUUUUCGGAUGUUAAACCGCUCACAUAGGUGAAUUUUUCAUAUUAAAAUAUUUUGUGUUCAUGUGUUUCUUGCACAUGUUAAAAUGCAAAUGUUA